GCAGGUAGUGAGGGGAUUCUAUAGUAAAAUAAUUCAAAGAAGAUGUGAUCGGUUGGUAGACAUUCUUCUGAUUGGUUGAACAUUCUUCUGCUUACCUUCUGUGGUGAGGAAAUCAACCCUGAACAUUCAUCGGAAGGGCUGAUUCUGAAGCUGAAACUCCCAAUACUUUGGCCGACUCACUGGAAAAGAUCCCGGUGCUGGGAAAGACUGAAGGCAAGAGAAGAGGCAGCAGAGGAUGAGAUGGUUGAAUGGCAUCACCGAUUCAAUGGACAUGUGUUUGCACAAACGUUGGGAGCUAGUGAAUGACAAGGAAGCCUGGUGUGCUGCUCUUCACAGGGUAGCAGAGUCGGACAUGACUUAGUGACUUAACAACAAGGAUACAAGUGUCUGAUUGCCUUUAGGGCCUACGUGGAUGAUCCAGGAUAAGCUCCCAUCUCAAAAAGCUUAACUGAAUCACAUCUCCAAAAUCCGCAAAAGACGUCUCUCUGAUUUUUUUUUUUUUCCCUUGGCCAGCUCCCGGCCUUCAGGCCACCCCAGCUGACACCGAGGGUAGACACGGUGCCUUCUGAUCCUGGCCCACACUACUAAUGUAUGAGUUUGAAAAAAAGGAAGGGGAAGAGCAAGAUGAAGCUUCUGCCACUGGAUCCAGGGGUGGUUUAUUUCACAGCAAAAGACAGAGUACAUCAUGAGACACGCUGGGCUGGAAGAAGCACAAGCUGGAAUCAAGAUUGCCGGGAGAAAUAUUAAUAACCUCAGACAUGCAGAUGACACCACCCUUAUGGCAGAAAGUGAAGAG
ensembl:lncRNA